UGGUGAGUCACGAGGAGGUGCCAGGAAGCCGACGCCGCCGUGCCCGCCGGCCGGCUGUGAUAACGCCCUGACGUGUGUCCACGGCUUCUUCACGGUGCUCAGGGAGCUUUCUCCUGCACGAGGAAGAAGUCGCUCGGGCCAGUAUGACGUCUGGGGCCUCGGGAUGCCUGGUUUUCUCAGCAUGGAUGAGUGAUGAAUGGACAUCCUGCGGUUCCUGUAUCGGCUGCCUGGGUGUGCACGGUUCAUGCCUGGGGAAGGAGGUGCAGGUGAAGACAGCCCCCAACGCCAGGUCUGCAGCUGGCAGAGAACGGCCCCUGGAGAUGCAGAAGUCAUCAAGACCUUGAAUGCUACCUCCUAGGGCCCCUUGGGAGAGAGCUGGUCUCUAAACUACGUGUCACAGUGGCUUUAACCCAGGCAACCAAAACCCUUCAUGCCCCAAGGGAACCAAGCUGGGAUCUCCUCAUCCCUAAACAGAUGAUUCCAGCACAUAUAGGUAGCUCCCCUGCCUUCUUCCUGUUGUAUGAGACCAUGAAGUCCUUGGACGCAAAACUCUGCCAUGGCACUGCUUCCCUCAAAAUCCUUUGAUGGCUCACUAUUGCCUAUAUAACAAGAAUUGCCCUUGUCGAAUAAACUAUGGCACUUGGUUGCGAUAUUUGGCCCUUGAA